GUGCGUAGGAGAAGGACACGUGCCAUGGGUUCGGUGCCUGGUUCAUUGCGUUCAAGUUCAAGGUCGCCUCCAACUCGGACUGUCCACCAGACAAGAAC
rnacentral:sRNA from 1 species